ensembl:lncRNA
CCAGACCUACAAAUCUUUGUGCAGGACAUGAAGGAUUGAUGAGCAGACAUGAGUUUAGUGCCAGGUGCAUGGAUAUUACAAAUUGGGUGAUGGAGUUUACAUCCACUGUGGUCGUUCCCGCCCUUGACCUCACCAUGCAGAUAGAGCUCUCUGAUUCUUCAAGCUCUUCUGGAUCAGGAAGUAAUGAGGCAAGAGAAAUGACCUCUUUCGGCCGCAGCGUCAGACUCAGCUUUAGUGGAGGACCCAGUAGGCGCACCAGCGCUAGAACUGCUUGCAGCACACAAACUCCCACGCCUUUCCCCUCCUCUCACAGGUCCAUGACCUCUUUGCUGAGUGAGGACGAAGAGCGAUAUGUCUCCUCACCUGAGAGUGGCAAUAGAGAGAUGAGACACAGACCCCACUCAGCACCACUGAGAUCUGUGUUUGGAAUUUCUGAGGACUCUGUCUUCAACAUGGUCCAGAGCGGCCAGUCGCAGAGUGACAUCGUACUGCCGUCCAGUCGGAGUAGACGGGAGAAAUACAGACCUGUCAAAAUACCAACGGACACCAGGUGUAUGAUGGGUAUUGUAGAGUUGGUUACGAACCUUCUCAACUCCAGAUUGGCUGAGCUAAUGCAAAGUUUCAGUCAGGGAACUCUAGUUCCGCUGUCUGGUAGUAUCUCAGCAAGUCAGCAGUUUGCCCAAGAGAUGCUAAGCAUGGUGUCUGCUAAGAUGUAUGCCCAUGCCAUAGAGCAUAUUGCGCACGGCCACAAGUCUACCCUUGAGUUAGUGAGGGAGCUUGAGGCCAUAUUGGGUCCUCUGGCUGGACAGGUUAUAGUCAUCAUCAUAGAUAGCAUCUUCAAGGCUAAAGCCAAUGGAGGAAACAAGGGGUGAGCGACCAGCCCCUUGACCUAUUUUCUCACUGCCAUUUCGGCAGAAAUACAAAGCCUAGUUGCUCAGAGAUUGGCUAGCAGACCGUCCACCAGACUGUCCAACAACGACCCACUGCUGAACAUUUCCAAGUCAAAGGUCUUAAGAUAAAUUCUACUCAAAAUGGCAGAACUCUUUGGCCAAGGUUCAAGUGAAACCUGUCUAGUUCCACUAGUCCAGAGUCAGUCCAACAACUCUAUUUGCGACUGGACUCUAAAUGCAGGCACCAUUCAUCCAAGUAAAUUUCUGUCUGACAACAGAAUGACAGAAGUGUCAUCCAAUGUUGUGGAUCUUGUACUUGAGGUUUUUGAGAUAACCGGAUUUUUGGAUAGCAGGAGCCCGUCAAGGCAACAGAGUGCCUGCUCCUACAACUCAGCUAGUGGAGCAAUAGAUAUGAGAGCUCUUGCUGGGGACAAAGGGACUCAGACCCUUUGUCUCUGAGAGUCAACUCUCCACCAUGUCCAUGACAGAUCAGUCAUCAUCUAUUUCUGACUUCACCUUGAAGCAGUUGUGUUGAAGCUCUGCUGUUGCUGCAGCAACUGUCUGUCAAGCAAUUAAAACAGAGCUUGAGAGCCAGAGACCUACCAACCUGUCAGCCAGAUACCUACUAUCAUCUCUGGUAGAGAACAUUGAGGACAUGGAUAUCUCUGACAUCCUCCAGGGCCCGUCGGCCAUUUUGGAGGAGGCUGCUAUUAUUAAGCACCCAGAGAUGUCCACCUCGACAAUAUACAGGUCUCUGCUUCUCGACUCAUCUCUCGUCUCCUCUAACAUGGUCACUGAGAGCAUUAUCUUCAACAGCCCUUGCCCAUCAGAGGAGAAUGUGAGUAUUCAGAAGGUGCUAAAGGUGUUAAAGUUCACAUCCUCCAUGGUCAACCAGUGGAGUAUAUCGUCAAAGCUAAGCAAUGCAUAACUCAGGUCAUUCAGGAUGCAUAUGUGACAUAUACUGGCGUGCUGGAUAAAACUGUGGGAAACUGUCGGAAAUUCUCUCUGUCUGUUUUUCCGCAGAGAAUAUUGCGGAGGCAUCCUCUGAUCUAUUUGGUGGAAUUAUUUCCGACCUGCAUGAGGUAUCUGAGGUCAAUAAGGCCCCCAUGCUCACAAAAUCAGGUCGCAAAAUGUUCUGGGUGGAAGUGAGUUAAGGUUCCCAGAAGAUUUAUACCAAAACCGUGGACAAACUAAGGAAGCUUUUCACCUCUCACCUUCUCACUGAGGGAAAAAAUACUCUUGUGCAAAUCGAGCUCUAUGACACUGGACUACUUGUAACUGAGACCACUGUGGAGGUAUCUCCUGUACAGAAGACAGACAGUAAUACCUCUUCAAUGUCCUCAGCCUCAGCCCACCAGCUCACCCUCGACACCUGCACUAAAGGGGUCAUCAAACAGGUGAUCUCGGUGCUGAGGGUGGAGACUUCAAAGGAAGACUGCUUCGCUUCCGUUGGUGAGAGCACGUCAAAUCCAUCCUUCGACUUCAUCCAGAAGUUGGACUCGAUCAUUUCGAAAUUGGAGGACCUCACCAUUUCGAGUGACGUGACAUCAGCCGAGAUUGCCACACUCACGCGAUCUCGUAGUGCAGCCAGCAGAACCUCUAACAUUUCCAUCCAGAGCUUUCACAGUGCUGAGUUCCGAGCUACAGCCAAACAGAUUGUGCGUGAGGCCAUUCUCAGAGCUGCCUGCGAAGCCAACUGUUCUUUGCCAUAGAGCAUGCCUAGCAUCACCUUCUCACACCAUGUGGUUUCUACAACUGAAGAUAUAGUGAAUAUGAUCAUGCAAGACAUUGAAUGUGUAUCCCCGUACAAAGUGGAGGACGCAGACUCCUUCCCACUAGGAGAGAAAAAGCUGCAGUCCCAGCUCAAACCCAGAGUUGUCUUUGCCACCUUAUUCGAUGCUGCUCAAACCAUGUACCACAGAGUAAAGAAUAGAACGUCUUUUUGUAUUUUCCACCCGUGUCAGUCACCACAGCCAAAGAUGUGCUGGACUCCUCCCCUGUGGAGACACUCAGAUGUUCGAAGUCUCCGGACACUGCUCUUGUUAAGGACAGGAGCCGCCCUCCGUCUGUGAGAAAUGAGAAGCUAUUUUCAAAAGUCAGUUUGACGAAAAGGUCUAAAGCCCUUGUGUCUUCGAGUGGCUCCUCCACAGUCCACCAUGUAAUUGACACAUACAGUGAGGAUGUCACUCUGCCCACCAGGAGUAUGUCAGUUGUGAGAAACACCAGUUUGAAGAGAGCCUCUCCUCUCCAUGGUAGUGGAUUUAGUGAAAAUUGUGAACCUCUUGUGGCUUUACAAGAUGGAAUAGUGGCAGUCAGCCUGGCAACCUGAUCGCAAAGGUCUAUGGUCUCAUUCAGGAGAUAACCAUAAGCCGCCAGCUUCAAUCCAUGACAGGCCACAGAAGCCUCUCUCAACCAGCACUGCCAAAACCAGCACUGAGGAAGCUGUCGAAGGACGAUGCGUAAGAGCUCGUUUACAGCUUUGCCCAGACUUCUGUUAGCAGACUCCUGGGGCAGUGUUUGGGUAGGCCUAUGCCACCCACCACUGACAGGGUUUUGGAUCAGGUCAUCAAGUUGAUGACAGACAAAAAAAGGCAUGAAUAUUGUUUUUCUGCUUUUCUGAUCUUAAACCUUAAACCGCCUGACUGAUCUGUCCAAGUCUGCAAUGGAGGAUGAUAAGUGAAAGUACCUCUUCAUCUGCAUAGGACUUCAUUGUAACAUGAUGCUCACUACAUUGCGUUUUAUGAUGUGAACUUUGCUGGUUGCGUCCAUAAUGGCACCUUCUUCCACAUUUAGUGCACUACUUGACCAGAGCCAGACCCUAUGGGCCCUGUUCAAAAGUUGUGCACUAUAAAGGGAAGAGAAUGCCUUUUGGGACACAGCGACUGAUUUCCAUUGUUGCACCCUCUUCUCCCAGUUAUUGUAUGCAGGUCGGUCACACCAGCUUGCUCUUCUUACUUAGACACCAGCAAUGCCGCAAGUGACAUCACUCAUGGUGCUGUGGCUGACCUUAAUGCUACUGAAGAAUUCCCUGCCAGGGGCCUUAGCCCCGCUGAUGUAAAGGCUGACAGCAUGGCCCGCCUUCCCUCUGCCAGAGGGGAAGAGACUAAGAAGAACAGGAAGUGGUGCUUCCUACCCAAAAUUGGCAAGAUUCCAAAGAUCAAGAUGAAGAUGGUGAGGCUGCUUCUCUCCAGAGGAGCCAACAUCAACGCUUUUGACAAGAAGGACCGCCGAGCAAUCCACUGAGCUGCUUACAUGGGUGGUGAAACUGCUGGCCUCUCAUGGGUCAGAGGUGUCCUGUAAAGACAAGAAGGCCUACACCCCUCUACACUCUGCAGCCUCCAGUGGCAUGAUCAGUGUGGUUAAGUAACUCCUGGACCUUGGGGUGGAAUUUAUACAUACACCUCCCGCAUUCAACUGUGUAGUCACUGUUCAAUUACAACUCCACGAAAAGACAGAGCUCUAGUGUGGUGGAGAAUGAUUUCCUUUCAAGUAAUGAAGAGAUGGAGGUUUGGCCAGGGGGUUGGGACCAGUGUGUUAGGGCCAGGGGGUUUUCAUAAACAAGUAAUGAAGAGAUGGAGAUUGGAUCCAGAGGGUUGGAGCCCAGUGUGUCGGGACCCAGUGUAUCGGGUCAGGGGCUUUUCCUAACCAAGUGACCUGAUCAGGAAUGUAUUCUCUCUCUCUCUAUCAACAUGUUAAAUGUGCAACCAGAGGAAAAUAAACUCUGGACCACCUUUACUUUAUACACAGAGAUGCAUACAAAGCUCUCCCUCGCCCUCCAUUUGGCAAAUCUGACCAUAAUUCUAUCCUCCGGAUUCCUGCUUACAUGCACCCGUGACUAGAUCAAUAAAAAAAAGUGGUCAGAUGAGGCAGAUGCUAAACUACAGGACUGUUUUGCAAGCACAGACUGGAAUAUGUUCCGGGAUUCUUCCAAUUCUUCCGAGUACACCACCUCCUUUGGUCGCCUUUCCUUCCAGUUCUCGGCUGCCAAUGACUGGAACGAACUGCAAAAAUCACUAAAGCUGGAGACCCAUAUCUCCCUCACUAGCUUUAAGCACCACCUGUCAGAGCAGCUCACAGAUCACUGCACCUCUCCAUAUCCCAUCUGUAAACAGCCCAUCCAACUACCUCAUCCCCAUACUGUAUUUAUUUAUUUAUCUUGCUCCUUUGCACCCCAGUAUCGCUACUUGCACAUUCAUCUUCUGCACAUCUAACCAUUCCAGUGUUUAAUUGUAAUUACUUCGCCACCAUGGCCUAUUUAUUGCCAUAACUCCCUUAUCUUACCACAUUUGCACUCACUGUAUACAGAGAUUUUGUUUUCUUUUUUCUUAUUAUUGACUAUGUUUUGUUUAUUCCAUGUGUAACUCUGUGUUCUUGUAUGUGUCGAAUUGCUAUGCUUUAUCUUGGCCAGGUCGCAGUUGCAAAUGAGAACUUGUUCUCAACUAGCCUACCUGGUUAAAUAAAGGUGAAAUUUAUAUAUAUUUUUAAACAUCAGUCACUAGCUUCAUCAAUAAGUGCAUCGAUGACGUUGUCCCCACAGUGACUAUACGUACAUACCAACCAGAAGUCAUGGAUUACAGGCAACAUGCUGAGCUAAAGGGUAGAGCUGCCGCUUUCAAGGAGCGAGCCUCUAACCUGGAAGCUUAUAAGAAAUCCCGCUAUGCCCUCCGACGAACCAUCAAACAGGCAAAGCAUCAAUACAGGACUAAGAUCCAAUCAUACUACACUGGCUCCGAGACUUGUCGCAUAUGGCAGGGCUUGCAAACUAUUACAGACUACAAAAGGGAAGCACAGCUGAGAGUAGCCCAGUGACAGGCGCCUACCAGACAAGCUAAAUUAUUUAUAUGCUUGCUUCGAGGCAAGUAACACUGAAACAUGCAUGAGAGCACCAGCUGUUCCAGACGACUGUGUGAUCGCGUUCUCCGCAGCCGAUGUGAGUAAGACUGUUAAGGGAAUUUUUAUCAAUAAUGACUAUGUAUACAUUUCAAUCAGGACUGACUAAUCAGAAUACUAUUAUGUUACUGUAUAUGUACUAAUCAGAAUACUAUUAUGUUACUGUAUAUGUAUGAAUUUUCUUUUAAUCCUAGUACUGAAUAUAAUGUGUGUAAAUAUAAUCAAGAAUUAGAACAAUGACUGUCUGUUCCUUGGUAGAAAUGAAUGAACUCUAUUACCCGACUGGCUAGAAUGCUUAUCUACACAGGCUGGCCUUGCCUCUAGACUGAUGUGGGAAGGCUUGAGAACUAUACAGCCUUUCUACCAGUGUCAAGAAGAGAUGGAACAUUUAGAACACGCAGUUUAUAAUCUGUGGUAAAAUGUAUCAUGAGCAGUACUCUUGUGAAUAAAC